rnacentral:rRNA from 1 species
GACGAACGCUGGCGGCGUGCUUAACACAUGCAAGUCGAACGGUGAUGACCAGCUUGCUGGUCUGAUCAGUGGCGAACGGGUGAGUAACACGUGAGCAACCUGCCCUUCACUCUGGGAUAACCACGGGAAACGGUGGCUAAUACCGGAUAUGAGACGUACCUGCAUGGGUGGCGUCUGGAAAGAUUUAUCGGUGAAGGAUGGGCUCGCGGCCUAUCAGCUUGUUGGUGGGGUAAUGGCCUACCAAGGCGACGACGGGUAGCCGGCCUGAGAGGGCGACCGGCCACACUGGGACUGAGACACGGCCCAGACUCCUACGGGAGGCAGCAGUGGGGAAUAUUGCACAAUGGGCGCAAGCCUGAUGCAGCGACGCCGCGUGAGGGAUGACGGCCUUCGGGUUGUAAACCUCUUUCAGCAGGGAAGAAGCGAAAGUGACGGUACCUGCAGAAGAAGCGCCGGCUAACUACGUGCCAGCAGCCGCGGUAAUACGUAGGGCGCAAGCGUUGUCCGGAAUUAUUGGGCGUAAAGAGCUCGUAGGCGGUUUGUCGCGUCUGCUGUGAAAACCUGAGGCUCAACCUCGGGCUUGCAGUGGGUACGGGCAGACUAGAGUGCGGUAGGGGUGACUGGAAUUCCUGGUGUAGCGGUGGAAUGCGCAGAUAUCAGGAGGAACAUCGAUGGCGAAGGCAGGUCACUGGGCCGCAACUGACGCUGAGGAGCGAAAGCAUGGGGAGAGAGCAGGAUUAGAUACCCUGGUAGUCCAUGCCGUAAACGUUGGGCACUAGGUGUGGGGCUCAUUCCACGAGUUCCGUGCCGCAGCAAACGCAUUAAGUGCCCCGCCUGGGGAGUACGGCCGCAAGGCUA